rnacentral:rRNA from 1 species
UACGUAGGGUGCAAGCGUUGUCCGGAAUUACUGGGCGUAAAGAGCUCGUAGGCGGUGUGUCGCGUCGGCCGUGAAAACCUGCAGCUCAACUGUGGGCUUGCGGUCGAUACGGGCAUCACUGGAGUUCGGCAGGGGAGACUGGAAUUCCCGGUGUAGCGGUGAAAUGCGCAGAUAUCAGGAGGAACGCCGGUGGCGAAGGCGGGUCUCUGGGCCGAUACUGACGCUGAGGAGCGAAAGCGUGGGGAGCGAACAGG